rnacentral:rRNA from 1 species
AAGGAGCUUGCUCCUUUGACGUUAGCGGCGGACGGGUGAGUAACACGUGGAUAACCUACCUAUAAGACUGGGAUAACUUCGGGAAACCGGAGCUAAUACCGGAUAACAUAUUGAACCGCAUGGUUCAAUAGUGAAAGGCGGCUUUGCUGUCACUUAUAGAUGGAUCCGCGCCGUAUUAGCUAGUUGGUAAGGUAACGGCUUACCAAGGCAACGAUACGUAGCCGACCUGAGAGGGUGAUCGGCCACACUGGAACUGAGACACGGUCCAGACUCCUACGGGAGGCAGCAGUAGGGAAUCUUCCGCAAUGGGCGAAAGCCUGACGGAGCAACGCCGCGUGAGUGAUGAAGGUCUUCGGAUCGUAAAACUCUGUUAUCAGGGAAGAACAAAUGUGUAAGUAACUGUGCACAUCUUGACGGUACCUGAUCAGAAAGCCACGGCUAACUACGUGCCAGCAGCCGCGGUAAUACGUAGGUGGCAAGCGUUAUCCGGAAUUAUUGGGCGUAAAGCGCGCGUAGGCGGUUUUUUAAGUCUGAUGUGAAAGCCCACGGCUCAACCGUGG